CGCACCACUGGUGUUCGGGUUGUCAUGCCAAUGGCACUGCCCGGUAGCUAAGUGCGGAAAAGAUAAGCGCUGAAAGCAUCUAAGCGCGAAACUUGCCUCGAGAUGAGUCUUCCCUGGGCCUUUAAGGUCCCUGAAGGAACGUUUAAGACUAAGACGUUGAUAGGCUGGGUGUGUAAGUGCAGCGAUGCAUUGAGCUAACCAGUACUAAUGAUCCGUGAGGCUUAACCUU
rnacentral:rRNA from 1 species